rnacentral:rRNA from 1 species
AAUCAACGCUGGCGGCGUGCCUAACACAUGCAAGUCGAGCGGGAAAAGGGGCUUCGGCUCCUGAGUAUAGCGGCGGACGGGUGAGUAACACGUGGGUAAUUUGCCCUUGGGUGUGGAAUAACUCAGGGAAACUUGAGCUAAUACCGCAUGACAUCCUCUUCGCACACGAGUCGAGGAUCAAAGCCGGGGACCCUUCGGGGCCUGGCGCCUGAGGAGAAGCCCGCGCCCGAUUAGCAGUUGGUGAGGUAAUGGCUCACCAAGGCUUCGAUCGGUAGCCGGCCUGAGAGGGCGGACGGCCACACUGGGACUGAGACACGGCCCAGACUCCUACGGGAGGCAGCAGUGGGGAAUCUUGCGCAAUGGGCGAAAGCCUGACGCAGCGACGCCGCGUGAGGGAUGACGGCC